ensembl:lncRNA
CACCUCUGUUCUGGUCUUCUGGUCCACUCUGACCUGGUGCCCUGAUUCCUCCUGUCCUGACCUUGGGAAUUAUCAUCUAAUAUGGAAACAGAUUCAUCUCUUGCUUACUGCAUUUUACAUAAUGCUUUUGAUUGUCAUAUUCAUGUGUAACUGAGUGUUGUCUUGCAGUUGUUCAUGUCUUUGGCCAGGUCGCCAUCUGAAACGAGAUUCACUUCUCAAUUCCCGUGCCAGUUUAAAUAAAAGUUAAGCAGUAAAAUAAAAGACAAUUAAUACACAUGACAUAAUACACAAUUCUAUCGGGACCCAUUUUGUCUCAACAGUGCCACUUUUACAAACGGGAAUGGACAUUCAACUAGCUAUACCCUGCACUACAUGUUAACUUUUCCCCUCUUCUCGGGACCUUGACCAAGUGAGCUGACACCAUAUCAAUCUUAUUUGAGACCAAACCUAACCAUAUUAUAACAUCUACACAAAACCUAAACCCUAACCCUAAUACAACAUCUACUCAACACCUAAAUCCUAACCAUAUUAUAACAAACACAAAACCUAACCCUAACCGUAUUAUAACAUCUACUCAAAACCUAACCCUUAAGUCAAACAUCCUUUUACUUCACAUCAAUUGAUUAAAGAUAAGGUUUUACGGUUGUCAGUCCCCACCAGGAUAGUAAAACAUGAACACACAGCCAUGCACUCCACCAGAUAUCAGACAUUCCACAUGGUGACAAAACGAGACACACACAUGCAAAUACUCGCAAAAACACUAAUGGAACUGUUCACAGUGCUGUUUCUUACCGGAGCCUGUCCUCUGAGUUCAUUUGGAGGGAAACAGCUGAAAAAUAUCACAUAUCACACCAGCCUGUCUGACUUUUUCUCUCUCUUCUUUAAAUGUCAGUCUGCUACUCACGGCCAGUAUUAGGUUGGAAAUUUUGUCUUACUAACUCUCUUUCUUUUUCUCUUUCUCUCUCUACUGUUUCACUCUCUUCCUGUCUCUCUAUCUCAUUCUGUCUCU